rnacentral:rRNA from 1 species
AGAGUUUGAUCCUGGCUCAGGAUGAACGCUGGCGGCGUGCCUAAUACAUGCAAGUCGAACGAAUAUGUAGUAAUACAUGUGAGUGGCGAACGGGUGAGUAACGCGUUGGUGACCUGCCCCGAAGUGUGGGAUAACAGUUCGAAAGAACUGCUAAUACCGCAUGUGAUCCCCGGGUUUAGAAACCGGUGAUUAAAGGAGUAAUUCGCUUCGGGAUGGACCUGCGUCCCAUCAGCUAGUUGGUAGGGUAACGGCCUACCAAGGCUUUGACGGGUAAGGGACCUGAGAGGGUGGUCCCUCACAAUGGCAUUGAAAUACGGGCCAUACACCUACGGGUGGCAGCAGUAGGGAAUAUUGGGCAAUGGACGAAAGUCUGACCCAGCAACGCCGCGUGUGCGACGAAGGUCUUCGGAUCGUAAAGCACUUUUCUGGGAGAUGAGAAAGGACAGUAUCCCAGGAAUAAGUCUCGGUUAACUACGUGCCAGCAGCCGCGGUAAAACGUAGGAGACGAGCGUUAUCCGGAUUUACUGGGCGUAAAGCGCGUGCAGGCGGUUCGGCAAGUUGGAUGUGAAAUCUCCCGGCUCAACUGGGAGAGGUCGUUCAAUACUACCGGACUUGAGGAUGGUAGAGGAAGGUGGAAUUCCCGGUGUAGUGGUGAAAUGCGUAGAUAUCGGGAGGAACACCAGUGGCGAAAGCGGCCUUCUGGACCAUUCCUGACGCUCAGACGCGAAAGCUAGGGGAGCGAACGGGAUUAGAGACCCCGGUAGUCCUAGCUGUAAACUAUGUAGACUUGGCGUCGGUGGGUUAAAAACCAUCGGUGCCGUAGCUAACGCGAUAAGUCUACCGCCUGGGGACUACGGCCGCAAGGUUAAAACUCAAA